GAUUGAGGAGACCCCGGAAGAAAUGAUUGGCAGCUGAAGCUGAGACUUAACACAACUGUGAAUCAAUAACUCGGUGCUACUCUAAAGGCAGUUGGCUUUUAGGCUCCUGGUGCUGAAGAUAGAGGUGUCAGACCUCCACAUAUUCUCAGUGUUGGAGUGAGGCCCUCUCUGAGCUGCAGUGGAGGGCUUCACAGAUACAGCUAGUCUGGCUGGAUGCAUCACCCAGUAGAGCAGUUUGGCGGGCGAGGCACACGGGAUUCCUUCCCUCUGGACGAACUCAACCGGGGGCCAUGGCCUCCCGUGGGCGGCCGCGCCUGGCAGCCACCUGCCAGGUGUUCACCUACAAUGAACCAACACCAGCUACUUCCCCAUCUACCUCCUGGACCUAUGGGUGGAUUAAACCAUCACAGCAAAUAUUUCAGUAAUGGGCCGAUGCGAGGAAGCGAGAAGCUCGAUCUCCCACAGCCAAUGUUACCACCUCUGCAGAGGGAGCAGCAGAGACCUCCCCACCAUCUUCAUCCUCCACCUCAUCACAGAGCGUGGGAAAUUAGCCAGCUAUAUGAUUCCCACCUUCCUCCUCGAGGACAUCCGGUCAUGCCCCUGCCCAAUGACCUCUCGCUCCGUCUCCAUAAUGGAGGCUACGGGGGCAGCGGCGGACCUCCGCCUAACCCCCAUUUCCCCUCCAGGGGGCCAAACCACAUGCUGAAAUUUGGGGGUCCUCAGGAGCCGAAUGUUCCCCGGGGUCCACCUUUGCUGGGAGAUGACAUGUGGGCUCAGGUGCACCAGCAGAGGCCAUACCCAGGAAAGAUGCAAGGAGGUCAGCUGAAGCGACCAGGCCCUCCGCUGGGUGAACACUCCGUUAUCCAACACACGCCUUCACCAUCGCUGCACACGCCCUCACAGUCUACAGCAGAGGAGUGUCCCAGCCCCAGCAAAAGGAAAAAGAGUUCAGAUCAGGUAUCUCACCCUGGGCUACAACGUUUCUCUGGUGCUGGCCAAUCUUUGCCGCAGCAGCAGUCGUCUGCUCAGCACCACCCUCCAAAGCCCGCCUUCUGGAACCCCAUUCACAAGGACAGCAGUGUUCCCUGGCAGCCACAAACCUCAGAGCGCAAGAACCCACAAUCACAUGAGUUCCAGGAAAACAACAAACAAGGUAUGGGCAGCUACACCCAGAGGUCCUCUCCUGCAUCUUUGGCCCCUUCCAACCUCGCUCCUUUACCCAACUCCCCUCCGGGAAGCUACAACCAGGGAUGUGCUCCUAAGAUUCAGAAAGACAAGUUACAACCUCAGGCUGUAAACCAUCGGUCCCCUCACUCCUCCUACCCCAGUCCUGGCUCCAAACCGGAGAGUGCUCCGCCAUCCCAAGCUAAAGAGACUCGUGGUCCUCAGAUGCAGAGAGGCCCUCUCAUUGGGGGCCAAGGUGGCAGCCAAGCUACCUCUCACACAGCAUCAACUCCAACCAGGGGAGACAGAGAUCAUCACCGACAUGCCCAGUCAUCACCAGCAAACGUUUCUGCGACCGGCAGCAACAACAGCAGCAGCAGUGUGCCUUACAGCCACUUCCAGCCUCAUCCAGGGCUGGUCCACCAGGGUCCUCCUCCUCCACCGCCUCAAGCCAGCAGCACCUCAGUACCUCAGCAACAGCAAAGCGGUCCACAUGAGGCCUGGAGAUAUCAGAGCACGCCCAGCAAUCACUCCCUGGUGAGUUCAAGUUAUUCAUGUGCAGCCUCAUUUGAACCAUGCUGCAAGAAUGAGUUCCUUUAAUAAAGGGCAGCAGCACAACGCAGCCACAUCAGCUGUUAACACAGUUGUUUUUUGAUCACUAUUAUAUUAAGUGACU
rnacentral:lncRNA from 1 species